rnacentral:rRNA from 1 species
GACGAACGCUGGCGGCGUGCUUAACACAUGCAAGUCGAACGGAAAGGCCCUGCUUUUGUGGGGUGCUCGAGUGGCGAACGGGUGAGUAACACGUGAGUAACCUGCCCUUGACUUUGGGAUAACUUCAGGAAACUGGGGCUAAUACCGGAUAGGAGCUCCUGCUGCAUGGUGGGGGUUGGAAAGUUUCGGCGGUUGGGGAUGGACUCGCGGCUUAUCAGCUUGUUGGUGGGGUAGUGGCUUACCAAGGCUUUGACGGGUAGCCGGCCUGAGAGGGUGACCGGCCACAUUGGGACUGAGGGACGGCCCAGACUCCUACGGGAGGCAGCAGUGGGGAAUAUUGCGCAAUGGGCGGAAGCCUGAUGCAGCAACGCCGCGUGCGGGAUGACGGCCUUCGGGUUGUAAACCGCUUUCGCCUGUGACGAAGCGUGAGUGACGGUAAUGGGUAAAGAAGCACCGGCUAACUACGUG